rnacentral:rRNA from 1 species
AUUGAACGCUGGCGGCAUGCUUUACACAUGCAAGUCGAACGGUAACAGGUCUUCGGACGCUGACGAGUGGCGAACGGGUGAGUAAUGCAUCGGAACGUGCCCAGUCGUGGGGGAUAACGCAGCGAAAGCUGUGCUAAUACCGCAUACGAUCUAUGGAUGAAAGCGGGGGAUCGAAAGACCUCGCGCGAUUGGAGCGGCCGAUGUCAGAUUAGCUAGUUGGUGGGGUAAAGGCCCACCAAGGCGACGAUCUGUAGCUGGUCUGAGAGGACGACCAGCCACACUGGGACUGAGACACGGCCCAGACUCCUACGGGAGGCAGCAGUGGGGAAUUUUGGACAAUGGGCGCAAGCCUGAUCCAGCAAUGCCGCGUGCAGGAAGAAGGCCUUCGGGUUGUAAACUGCUUUUGUACGGAACGAAAAAGUCUGGGUUAAUACCCUGGGCUCAUG